rnacentral:rRNA from 1 species
GAUGAACGCUGGCGGCGUGCCUAAUACAUGCAAGUCGAGCGAACGGACGAGGAGCUUGCUUCUCUGAUGUUAGCGGCGGACGGGUGAGUAACACGUGGAUAACCUACCUAUAAGACUGGGAUAACUUCGGGAAACCGGAGCUAAUACCGGAUAAUAUUUUGAACCGCAUGGUUCAAAAGUGAAAGACGGUCUUGCUGUCACUUAUAGAUGGAUCCGCGCUGCAUUAGCUAGUUGGCAAGGUAACGGCUUACCAAGGCAACGAUGCAUAGCCGACCUGAGAGGGUGAUCGGCCACACUGGAACUGAGACACGGUCCAGACUCCUACGGGAGGCAGCAGUAGGGAAUCUUCCGCAAUGGGCGAAAGCCUGACGGAGCAACGCCGCGUGAGUGAUGAAGGUCUUCGGAUCGUAAAACUCUGUUAUUAGGGAAGAACAUAUGUGUAAGUAACUGUGCACAUCUUGACGGUACCUAAUCAGAAAGCCACGGCUAACUACGUGCCAGCAGCCGCGGUAAUACGUAGGUGGCAAGCGUUAUCCGGAAUUAUUGGGCGUAAAGCGCGCGUAGGCGGUUUUUUAAGUCCGAUGUGAAAGCCCACGGCUCAACCGUGGAGGGUCAUUGGAAACUGGAAAACUUGAGUGCAGAAGAGGAAAGUGGAAUUCCAUGUGUAGCGGUGAAAUGCGCAGAGAUAUGGAGGAACACCAGUGGCGAAGGCGACUUUCUGGUCUGUAACUGACGCUGAUGUGCGAAAGCGUGGGGAUCAAACAGGAUUAGAUACCCUGGUAGUCCACGCCGUAAACGAUGAGUGCUAAGUGUUAGGGGGUUUCCGCCCCUUAGUGCUGCAGCUAACGCAUUAAGCACUCCGCCUGGGGAGUACGACCGCAAGGUUGAAACUCAAAGGAAUUGACGGGGACCCGCACAAGCGGUGGAGCAUGUGGUUUAAUUCGAAGCAACGCGAAGAACCUUACCAAAUCUUGACAUCCUUUGACAACUCUAGAGAUAGAGCCUUCCCCUUCGGGGGACAAAGUGACAGGUGGUGCAUGGUUGUCGUCAGCUCGUGUCGUGAGAUGUUGGGUUAAGUCCCGCAACGAGCGCAACCCUUAAGCUUAGUUGCCAUCAUUAAGUUGGGCACUCUAAGUUGACUGCCGGUGACAAACCGGAGGAAGGUGGGGAUGACGUCAAAUCAUCAUGCCCCUUAUGAUUUGGGCUACACACGUGCUACAAUGGACAAUACAAAGGGCAGCGAAACCGCGAGGUCAAGCAAAUCCCAUAAAGUUGUUCUCAGUUCGGAUUGUAGUCUGCAACUCGACUACAUGAAGCUGGAAUCGCUAGUAAUCGUAGAUCAGCAUGCUACGGUGAAUACGUUCCCGGGUCU